CGCACGGCGAGGUCCCCUGGGAACUUCGGUCCAGCCUCCCUGCGAACGACGCCGAUGGGACCCCCGUCCCGUCGGUCCCGCCCCCAGCCCAGCCCUCCCGGGUGGCUGCGGUCCUCCCGCUUCCUGGCGCGCCUUCAGGAAGUGUUCCGACAAUAAAGACAUCAUCGAUAUAUUAACUCACGUCUUCAGAGCUUCAGGCACAUUCUGCAGAGACGUCCUCCAAAUGGAAAACAACGCUGCAGUAAAGCGGACAGUGUGGGCCCGGCUGUCACGGCUUUGAUGGCUGGACUUGGAACAAGGAGGGCAGAAGAGGAGUGAACGCUCACCAGCCCAGGACCCGGCGGGGACAGAUGACCCCCGUCCAGGCGGCCGGCCCAGAGCCGCCUCCACUCCCAUGUUGCUUCCCCUCCGUCUGCUUCUGCAGAGACGUUUCGAGAAGCAGUGGCUGCUUGUCACAGCCCGGUUCUGCCUCUGAAGCCGGUGACAGCCCCACGGGAAGGCGUCCGGGCUGCUUCUCGGGCUCCCACAGGCCCUGGGCCCUGCGAAGGCUUCUGCGGCACAGGGGUGCCGGGGGCGCAGGGGGCGCUGGGGGAGGAUUUGUUCCAUGGGCCUCAGCGCCCUAGGGAGGAGGGCAGUCUCCCCCGUUUCACAGAGGAGGAAAGCUGAGCUGGAAGAGGACACCGAUUUGUCCAGUGUCACCCCUCCUGGGGAGAGCCAGGAUGGCAUCCGGGGACCUCUGAGAGGAAGGGGGAGCAAGCCACACAGGGACGCGGCGCCCAAGGCUCCGGGUCCUGGCGGGCAGUCGGGGGCCCUCCAGCCAACGCCCCCUUUAGCCUCCAUGUCACAGUUGGGCCACGUUCUCCUUAGUGGGAUUCACUCAUUCAUUCACUUAUCCAACAACAGAUACCCAUGGAGAAUCUUCUAGAAGCCCAGGCUUGUGUCACUGCAGGGAGAGGAAUAAACAAAACAGUAAGCCUCCAGUCUCACUGGUUUUCGGGGGUCAGGCCCUGUUCCCGCCACCCCCAGGGACCCUCCUCGCUACAGAAGGGGCAGCUUCACCCUGGUCUGCCUCAGAUUUCUUCUCCCCUCCCCGGAGCAGCCCCUAGAUGGGAGUGAGACCCUCCCUCCCUCCCUCCCCACAGCCCACCCAGGCCUCUGCCCCGGACCCUUAUGCUUUCAGCUCUGCUGGGACAGGCCAGGGGCCAGGGCGCCCCCGGAGCUGCAGCGGGGCCAGGAGGGGCCUGGAGGAGCGGGCCAGCAGAGGUGUGUUUUGAAAUCUGUUUCCUUUUGGCCACGCUUGAACUUCCAAGGGGCUGGGUUUGACUGACAGGCGCAGAAAGGGCGCGCUGGCUCCCCGGGGAGCCCGGGGCAGAGACGGAGGGGCUCCACAGGGGCUCGGCUCUCGCGCAUCCUCUGCCCUUC
ensembl:lncRNA